rnacentral:rRNA from 1 species
AUUGAACGCUGGCGGAAUGCUUUACACAUGCAAGUCGAACGGCAGCACGGGUGCUUGCACCUGGUGGCGAGUGGCGAACGGGUGAGUAAUGCACCGGAACGUAUCCAAUAAUGGGGGAUAACGCACCGAAAGGUGUGCUAAUACCGCAUACGCCCUGAGGGGGAAAGCGGGGGAUCGUAAGACCUCGCGUUAAUGGAGCGGCCGAUGCCGGAUUAGCUAGUUGGUGAGGUAAAGGCUCACCAAGGCGACGAUCCGUAGCUGGUCUGAGAGGACGACCAGCCACACUGGAACUGAGACACGGUCCAGACUCCUACGGGAGGCAGCAGUGGGGAAUUUUGGGCAAUGGGCGGAAGCCUGACCCAGCAACGCCGCGUGGAGGAAGACGGCCUUCGGGUUGUAAACUCCUUUACGGGGAAGGAGGAAGGACGGUAACCCCGACGAAUAAGUCACGGCUAACUACGUGCCAGCAGCCGCGGUAAU